rnacentral:rRNA from 1 species
AUCCUGGCUCAGGAUGAACGCUGGCGGCGUGGAUAAGGUAUGCAAGUCGGGAGGGUUAGACCCUCGGCAGACGGGUUUAGUAACACGUAGGAAUCUACCUUGAAGUCGUGAAUAACUCUGAGAAAUCGGAGAUAAUACACGAUAGUCUCUUCGGAGUAAAGAUUUAUCGCUUCAAGAGGAGCCUGCGUCCUAUCAGCUUGUUGGUGAGGUAAUGGCUCACCAAGGCUAUGACGGGUAGGGGACGUGAGAGCGUGUUCCCCAACAUUGGCACUGAGACACUGGCCAAACACCUACGGGUGGCUGCAGUCGAGAAUAUUCCACAAUGGGCGAAAGCCUGAUGGAGCGACGCCGCGUGCGGGAUGACAGCUUUAGGGUUGUAAACCGCUUUUAUGGAGGAGGAACUUCGGUGACAGUACUCCAUGAAUAAGAGGCUGCUAACUACGUGCCAGAAGCAUCGGUAAUACGUAGGCCUCAAGCGUUAUCCGGAUUUAUUGGGCGUAAAGCGUGUGUAGGCGGAUAUAAUAGUCAUAUGUUAAAUCAUCUCGCUCAACGGGAUGGCCGCAUAUGAAACGUUAUAUCUAGAGGUAGGUAGAGGUUAGCGGACCUCAUGGUGUAACAGUGGAAUGCAUUGAUUUCAUGGGGAACACCAAAGGCGAAGGCAGCUUACUGGGCCUUAUCUGACGCUGAGACACGAAAGCGUGGGUAGCGAACGGAAUUAGAUACCCCGGUAGUCCCAGCCGUAAACGAAGUGCACUAAUCCUUGGGAGUUUCAACCCUCUCAGUGUUGUAGCUUAAGGCGUUAAAUGCACCGUCUGGGAAGUAGAAGCGCAAGCUUUAAACUCUAAAGGAAUAGAAGGGGAAUCCGCACAAUGCGGUGGAAGCAUGCGGUUUAACUUCGAUAAUAAAGGGAGGGAACCUCGCCAGGGGUUAGAAUAUUCUGGUGGCAAACUUUUUGGGAAACAUUUAGAAGCCCUUCGGAGGUGGCAAAAACAGGGGUUGGCAGUGGUCACCCUCCAAACCGCGCUGUUAACAGGUGUCCCUUUAAGUUGUGGAAUCAGACGGCACCCCCACAAGGUGGUGUAAAACAGGUUCCCACGGAACCGGUCCCGCCACUUAUUUUUGGUAGCGAAAAAUUACAAGCGGUGGGCGAAAUUUCAUUUUAUUUCACAUA